rnacentral:misc_RNA from 1 species
GUGGGAUCGGCGAUUGGGACGAAGUCGUAACAAGGUAGCCGUACCGGAAGGUGCGGCUGGAUCACCUCCUUUCUAAGGAGCACCGAUUCGAUUCCCCCGCCGUCCGCGAAGUCGUGGGCAGUAGUGCGGUUGGGAUAUUUCAGCCAGGCCCUGUAGUGGGUGUCUGGUGGGUGCAAAUGACAAACGUUGAGCCGGCGCGGGAAAGCGCGGGUGAUGGAACUGCUGAACACACUAUUGGGCUUUGAGACAACAGGCCCGUGCCCCUUUUUUUGGGGGGUGGCAUCCGGUUGCGGGUGUCGGCGUGUUGUUGCCUCACUUUGGUGGUGGGGUGUGGUGUUUGAUUUGUGGAUAGUGGUUGCGAGCAUCUAGCACGCAGUGUGGCUGGGGGCCUUCGGGUUUCCGGUCUUGUUGUGUGUUGAUGUGCAAUUUCUUUUGAAACUCAUUUUUGGUUUUUGUGUUGUAAGUGUUUAAGGGCGCAUGGUGGAUGCCUUGGCACUGGGAGCCGA